UUAAAAAAUUGGGGGAUGAGCUGUGGGUAGGGGUGAAAUGCCAAUCGAACCCGGAGAUAGCUGGUUCUCCCCGAAAUAGCUUUAGGGCUAGCCUCAGGGGGUCCUUUAUGGGGGUAGAGCACUGAUCAGGCUAGGGGCGUCGACCACGUUACCGAACCUUUUCAAACUCCGAAUACCAUAAAGAAAGAACCUGAGAGUCAGACUAUGGGUGAAAAGAUUCAUAGUCGAGAGGGAAACAGCCCAGACCGCCGGCUAAGGUCCCAAAGUGCAGGCUAAGUGUAAAAGGAUGUGGAGUUACCCAGACAACCAGGAUGUUGGCUCAGAAGCAGCCACCAUUUAAAGAGUGCGUAAUAGCUCACUGGUCAAGUGGCUCUGCGCCGAAAAUGUAACGGGGCUAAGCCUGCCACCAAAGCCGCGGAUUUUGGAAGUCUUUGACUUCCAAAAUGGUAGGGGAGCGUUCCAGCAGCAGAGAAGGUAUACCGAAAGGAAUACUGGAGCGGCUGGAAGUGAGAAUGCCGGUAUGAGUAGCGAGAAGGCAGGUGAGAAUCCUGCCCGCCGAAAGCCCGAGGUUUCCUGGGGAAGGCUCGUCCGCCCAGGGUAAGUCGGGACCUAAGCCGAGGCUGAAGAGCGUAGGCGAUGGACAAUCGGUGGAAAUUCCGAUACCGCCAGUAAGCCGUUAAUAGCGAAGAGGUGACACAGUAGGGUAGGCGCAGCGGGCCGUUGGUAGAGCCCGUCCAAGCUGGUAGGGAGAUCUGAUAGGCAAAUCCGUCAGGUCAUUAAUCCUGAGAAGCGAGAGCGAGGGAAAAAUAAGUACCGAAGUGGCUGAUCCCACACUGGCAAGAAAAACCUCUAGUGAGGCAUACAGGUGCCCGUACCGAAAACCGACACAGGUAGGCGAGGAGAGAAUCCUAAGGCGCGCGAGAGAACCCUCGUUAAGGAACUCGGCAAAUUGACCCCGUAACUUCGGGAGAAGGGGUGCCCCGUUAGAGUGAAGAUAAAACUAUUGAAGCUCGAGGGGGUUGCAGAUAAGAGGCCCAAGCGACUGUUUACCAAAAACACAGGCUCCUGCUAAAGCGAAAGCUGAUGUAUAGGGGUUGACGCCUGCCCGGUGCUGGAAGGUUAAGGGGAAGAGUGCAAGCUCCCAACCGAAGCCCCAGUAAACGGCGGCCGUAACUAUAACGGUCCUAAGGUAGCGAAAUUCCUUGUCGGGUAAGUUCCGACCUGCACGAAUGGCGUAACGAUUUGGGCGCUGUCUCAACGAGGGACUCGGUGAAAUUGUAGUACCCGUAAAGAUGCGGGUUACCUGCGACAGGACGGAAAGACCCCGUGGAGCUUUACUGUAGCCUGAUAUUGGAUUUUGGUACUUUUUGUACAGGAUAGGUGGGAGGCAUAGACCCCAUUCCGCUAGGGAUGGGCGAGCCAAUGGUGGGAUACCACCCUGAGAGUGCUGGAGUUCUAACCUGCUGCCGUUAUCCGGCAGGGGGACAGUGUCAGGUGGGCAGUUUGACUGGGGCGGUCGCCUCCCAAAGAGUA
rnacentral:rRNA from 1 species